rnacentral:misc_RNA from 1 species
GAUGAAGAACGUAGCGAAAUGCGAUAAGUAAUGUGAAUUGCAGAAUUCAGUGAAUCAUCGAAUCUUUGAACGCACAUUGCGCCCCCUGGUAUUCCGGGGGGCAUGCCUGUCCGAGCGUCAUUACAACCCUCAAGCUCAGCUUGGUAUUGGGCCCCGCCGACCCGGCGGGCCCUAAAGUCAGUAGCGGUGCCGUCCGGCUCCGAGCGUAGUAAUUCUUCUCGCUCUGGAGGUCCGGUCGUGUGCUCGCCAGCAACCCCCAAUUUUUUUCAGGUUGACCUCGGAUCAGGUAGGGAUACCCGCUGAACUUAAGCAUAUCAAUAAGCGGAGGA